GUUAGGAAUAUUGGACAAUGGGCGCAAGCCUGAUCCAGCCAUGCCGCGUGAACGAUGAAGGCCUUCGGGUUGUAAAGUUCUUUAGCCGAUGAUUAUAAUGACUGUAGUCGGAAAAUAAGCCCCGGCUAACUUCGUUCCAGCAGCCGCGGUAAUACGCAGGGGGCGAGCGUUAUCCGGAAUCACUGGGCGUAAAGCGUGCGUAGGCGGUCUCGUAAGUUAGGAGUGAAAGCCCAGGGCUCAACCUUGGAAUUGCUCUUAAUACUGCAAGGCUAGAAUCUCGGAGAGGAGAGCGGAAUUUCCAGUGUAGGAGUGAAAUGCGUAGAUAUUGGAAGGAACACCAGUGGCGUAAGCGGCUAUCUGGACGAGUAUUGACGCUGAGGCACGAAAGCGUGGGGAUCAAACAGGAUUAGAAACCCGUGUAGUCC
rnacentral:rRNA from 1 species